GUGCUAGCCGCUGCGGUAAUACCGGCAGCACGAGUGAUGGCCGCUAUUAUUGGGCCUAAAGCGUCCGUAGCCGGCCGGGCAAGUCCGUCGGGAAAUCCACCCGCUUAACGGGUGGGCGUCCGGCGGAAACUGCUCGGCUUGGGACCGGAGGACCCGAGGGGUACGUCCGGGGUAGGAGUGAAAUCCCGUAAUCCCGGACGGACCGCCGGUGGCGAAAGCGCCUCGGGAGGACGGAUCCGACGGUGAGGGACGAAGGCUAGGGUCUCGAACCGGAUUAGAUACCCCGGUAGUCC
rnacentral:rRNA from 1 species